GUAGGGGGCGAGCGUUGUCCGGAAUGACUGGGCGUAAAGGGUGCGUAGGCGGCAUAAUAAGUUAGAAGUGAAAUACACAGAGCUUAACUCGGGUGCUGCUUCUAAGACUGUUGAGCUUGAGUGCGGGAGAGGUUAAUGGAAUUCCUAGUGUAGCGGUGGAAUGCGUAGAUAUUAGGAGGAACACCAGAGGCGAAGGCGAUUAACUGGACCGUAACUGACGCUGAGGCACGAAAGUGUGGGUAGCAAA
rnacentral:rRNA from 1 species